rnacentral:rRNA from 1 species
AUGGCGUCUAGCGAGGGAAAUUAUCACCGUAGAGGUCCUUACUUUAAUGGCACUAAUUUUGCUAGUUGGAAGCAUAAGAUGAAAAUGCAUAUUAUUGGACAUAACCCCGCCGUUUGGGCUAUUGUGUGUAUUGGCUUGCAAGGUGAAUUCUUUGAUGGGAAAGAACCGAACCGUGAAGCUACCGCGGAAGAGUUGAAGAUGCUGCAAUACAACACUCAAGCUUGUGAUAUCCUCUUCAACGGAUUGUGCCCUGAAGAAUUCAACAAAAUCAGCCGUCUUGAGAAUGCAAAGGAAAUUUGGGAUACUUUGAUUGAUAUGCACGAAGGUACCGACUCCAUCAAGGAAUCCAAAUUGGAUGUGCUUUAA